UGCCAGCAGCCGCGGUAAUACGGGGGGAGCAAGCGUUGUCCGGAAUCACUGGGCGUAAAGAGCGUGUAGGCGGGAUCGUAAGUCAGAGGUGAAAUGUCGGGGCUCAACUCCGAACCUGCCUUUGAAACUACGGUUCUUGAGUGCGGUAGAGGGAAGCGGAAUUCCAGGUGUAGCGGUGGAAUGCGUAGAUAUCUGGAAGAACACCGGUGGCGAAGGCGGCUUCCUGGCCCGAAACUGACGCUGAGACGCGAAAGCGUGGGUAGCAAACAGGAUUAGAUA
rnacentral:rRNA from 1 species